rnacentral:lncRNA from 1 species
GGACUGCAACUACUUUAGAAAGAGAUUGUUCAUUCAUCAUAAUCAUAAAAUUUCUCAACUACAAACUAAAAAGACUAUACUAUUAUUAUUUUUAUUUUUAUUUUUGAUUUUUUUUUUUUAAGAAAAGUGAAAUAAAACUAAAAAAUAAAAAUUAAUGAUACCUCUCAUGGGUUACCUCCCAUGAAGCGCUUCUUUAAUGUCAUUAGCUUGACACAUCAACCACUAUUAAGGUGGCAUAUAUGACACAAAGAACACAUCAUCCUUCUUCUUCAUUUUGUUGGGGAGGAACUCCAUGAACUUGAUAUAUAGAUGAUGUUUCUUCCAUAACUUUUUCAAUUGGAAAUUGAUCAACAAGGCAUAAAUGGCAUCCAUAACUUCAUCAAUCUCCUCUCUUUUGUCGACC